rnacentral:rRNA from 1 species
UACGGAGGGUGCAAGCGUUAUUCGGAAUUACUGGGCGUAAAGCGCGUGCAGGCGGGGAAGCAAGUCUGAUGUGAAAGCCCUGGGCUUAACCUGGGAAGUGCAUUGGAAACUGUUUUUCUUGAGUACUGGAGAGGAAGGGGGAAUUCCCGGUGUAGAGGUGAAAUUCGUAGAGAUCGGGAGGAAUACCAGUGGCGAAGGCGCCCUUCUGGACGGUUACUGACGCUGAGACGCGAAAGCGUGGGGAG